rnacentral:rRNA from 1 species
UACCAGCACCCCUAGUGGUCGGGACGAUUAUUGGGCCUAAAGCAUCCGUAGCCGGUUCUACAAGUCUUCCGUUAAAUCCACCUGCUUAACAGAUGGGCUGCGGAGGAUACUAUAGAGCUAGGAGGCGGGAGAGGCAAGCGGUACUUAGUGGGUAGGGGUAAAAUCCGUUGAUCCAUUGAAGACCACCAGUGGCGAAGGCGGCUUACCAGAACGCACUCGACGGUGAGGGAUGAAAGCUGGGGGAGCAAACCGG